rnacentral:rRNA from 1 species
ACGAACGCUGGCGGCGUGCUUAACACAUGCAAGUCGCACGGUGAAGGGAUCAGCUUGCUGGUUCUGGAUGAGUGGCGAACGGGUGAGUAACACGUGAGUAACCUGCCCCCUUCUUCUGGAUAACCGCAUGAAAGUGUGGCUAAUACGGGAUAUUCUGCGCCUGCUGCAUGGUGGGUGUGGGAAAGAUAUUGUUUCGGUGGGGGAUGGGCUCGCGGCCUAUCAGCUUGUUGGUGGGGUGAUGGCCUACCAAGGCGGUGACGGGUAGCCGGCCUGAGAGGGUGGACGGUCACACUGGGACUGAGACACGGCCCAGACUCCUACGGGAGGCAGCAGUGGGGAAUAUUGCACAAUGGGCGCAAGCCUGAUGCAGCGACGCCGCGUGAGGGAUGGAGGCCUUCGGGUUGUGAACCUCUUUCGCCAGUGAAGCAGGCCUGUCCCUUGUGGGUGGGUUGACGGUAGCUGGAGAAGAAGCGCCGGCUAACUACGUG